CUGGCUGGAGGCUCCGCCCACUCUUCUAGCUGCUCCAGCCUGGUACUCUGGCCCCACUCUCUUCUUCAUCUUCCUUCACCUUCUUUUUGACUCUGGAAAGCCUCCCCCAAAGCCCAGGACAAAGAUGACUUUUGGAAGAUUGCCCAAAACGAUAGCUAGAGUGUGCCCUGGGCUCUGGGAGAUGGAGGAGAGAGGCGACAGGAGGAGUCAAUGGUUUGCCCAGUGCUGCGGGGAGGCGCUUUGCACGCUCUAGAUCGCAAGCCAAACGUCUAGUGCCAAGAGCUGUCAGGCAAAAGACUGGUCAGCUGGAGAGACUUCUCGGGACGCGGAGAGGUAGAACAGGUUUGCAGAGCGCUGGCAACCUCGGUUGACACUAAGGAUCUAUUGCCCCGCGCGCGCGCGAUGCGUGAGCUGAAUUGGGAUGGAAGGGCCUGUUGAAGAGCCAGGGAAGCAGCGUUUAGGAGAGAGUUUUCCGAGGCCACGCCGUGACGGUCGACAUUAAUAUUAGUGGAAAGACGCGUGCCCCGCAGUAAGAUCAUGAAAAGGGAUCCAGGAAAUGAAAGAGGAGAGGCAAGAAGGUAAGAAACACCCACGCGUUCCUCAGAAAUUGCGUGGGGAUGGGUGUCUUUAGUGGUUCAGGACUGUCAAGCUGACUCUGAGACUAUAGAAGAGACCACGCUAAUGCAACCCUCUACAACGGCAUCCUUAAACCCAGCAGAGCGGAAAGCUAAUGCCCUUUCCUUUCCGCCCGGAUGCAAGACUGGAUGGAAGGCAUCCAACAUGAUGAAAUACGGUGCAGAAGAAUGGUCUGGGCAGAAGGAGCGCUGGGUACUAAAGUUGCAUGACCAAAGAGAUCCGAGAGCUGUCUGCCACACCCCCUUCCUGCCUGGUUCCCUUUCUGACUGCCCUGGUCGCUCCCUUGGACUAUGAUGAACACGACUGCAGCGCCCCCUGCUGUGGGGAAGCUACAGGGCACAGAAAACACGUCCUUGCAGGGCUGACUUCCAACUUCCCCUUUUGCACCUAACCAGCAAGCUCUUCAAAGAUAAUAAGGAAAGUGGACUCCCUGGGUAUGUGGCAGCGAUCUGAAAAGUUUGAACGCCUGCAGAAUAAGGAUGUCUGACUUCACAAAGAAAUCGUUUGGAAACUGACAAAUAUUUUACAACUUCAAAAGUAUUUAAAACUUAGCCUGCAAAAUAAAAACAUCUUCAUAAAAGUUAUGAAGACCCCGUUCUAAAGUAUACAAGCUAAAGAACUGAUUAUGUACCACAAAAGCUGUGAAGCUGAGAUCUUAAUUUUCUUGGCACUGGGUUGCAGCCCUUGGGUUGAAGAGAGCAAACGGCUGCUGAGGGCCAUGGCCAUGCACAAGGAACAACAAAUGGUCUUAAAACUCAUGGAAUGUUGUCCACUGGUUACCACAGCCACGCUGGAUUUUCCUCGGUAGGGAAUGACCCCGAGGAUCACGUGUCCUGAGGACUUCAUGCUGUAAUGGAGUUCUGCUCUGCUUGCUGCCCUCACAUCACUCUUAAUCUAAGAGAACUCUAAAGAGGCUUGCAGACUCUCACUGGGCAGUAUCUCUGGCACUCACAACAACAUUGCUUGAUUCCUUUCAGGCAUUGCUGCUGGAAGAGAUUCAACUGAUUCAACACCACCCUAGAAAAGAAUCUAGAGACAUAGAUUGUAAGUUAUGACAGCCGCCCUUGGAAAGCAUUUGGAAAAAUAAAAUUGUGAGUGAAGCUAGGUUAAGAUGCUUUUGCUACAGGCUCCCAGUGUAGAAAAUCUUAGGGAACAAUUUGAAGUUCAAAAAGGCACACUUUUAUUUGUUAAGCUAGGGACCUUUUAUGGUCAGGGAAUAAGAACAAUGGCAGCACUGGCUGAUGAUUCACAAUGAGGCUGGACUGAUGAUUUCUUUCUUUCUUCCUUUCUUUCUCUCUCUGUCUUUCUUUCUUUCUUCCUUUCUUUCUUCUUUCUUUCCUUCCUCCCUUCCUUCCUUCCUUCCUCCCUUCUUUCCUUCUUUCUUCUUCUUUCCUUCUUCCUUUCUUUCUUUCUUAAUUUCUUUCUUUCUUUCCAUUUAUUUAUUUAUUUAUUUAUUUAUUACUUAUUCACUUUAUAUCCUUCUCACUUCCCCCUUUCUGGUCACCCUCUCCCACAAUCCUUCCUCCAUCCUCCAUCUCCUUCUCUUCUAGGCAGAUGAGAGUCCCCUUGGCUAUCCCCCCACUCUGAUACUUCAAGUCUCUGCCAGGCUAGGUGCUUCCUUUCCCACCGAGGCCAGACAAAGUAACCCAGCUAGAAGACCAUAUCUCACAUAUAGGCAGCAGCUUUUGGGGUAGCUCCCAUUCCUAUUAUUCAGGAUCCGCAUGAAGACCAAGCUGUCCAUCUGCUAUAUGUGAGCUGGAAGAGCUAGUUCCAGCCAGUGUAUGUUCUUUGGUUGGAAGCUGAGGCUCUUAGAGCCUCAAGGGUCCAGAUUAGUUGACUUUGUUGGUCUUCUUGUGGAGUUCGAUCCCCAUCAGGACCCACAGUCCUUCCUCCUAUUCUUCCAUGAGUCCCCAAGCUCCAUCCACAGUUUGACUUUGUGUGUCUAUAUCUAUCUGAGUCAGCUGCUGGGUGGAGCCUCUCAGAGGACAGCCAUGCUAGACUCCUGUCUGCAAGUAUAACAGAGUAUCAUUAAUAGUGUUAGGGAUUGGUACUUGCCCAUGGAAUGAAUCUCAAGUUGGGUCAGUUAUUGGUAGGCUAUUCCAAAAAUACCUUAUUUUGCUUUCACCUUUUCUGAUAUGAUUUAAUAAGAAUUGCUGGUGAGGAGAUAUGCAUUCUGAGGAUUUAAAGUAGGUCUGGAUGAUUUUUCUAUAAAAACUGAGAUUUCUGUUUCUUUUAAGAUUCUUAUAAGAAAAUAUUUGAUCUUUUCUUUGUAACCGCAAAUCACUGCCUGCCAGUAAGAGAAACUGGCUGAGAAAACUGUCUUGCUUACUUACACUUUGUUAAUCUAUAGCAAGUUGCUUAGUUACAAAUGUAUGUAGGUUCUUAGGAAUAAUUUUUUUUAACCUGUGCUACCUAACGUUAUUUCUUGUAAAGGUGUUGGGGAACACACUGUUUCUUCAUAGUCAUUUCCUGGAAGAAAACUAGAUCAUAAUCACACUGUAAUUUUAUACUGCUUGAAAGGUUUUGCUGGGAUAUAUAUGCCAUACAAUAAGGAAUAAAGUUGUUGGAACAUUGUUCCUUCCAUCCAUCAA
rnacentral:lncRNA from 1 species